ACGUAGGGGACGAGCGUUGUCCGGAUUUACUGGGCGUAAAGGGCGCGUAGGCGGUCAUUUAAGUCAGCUGUGAAAUGGUUUGGCUUAACCGGAUCAUGCGGUUGAAACUGGAUGACUGGAGUGCUGGAGAGGCGAGUGGAAUUCCCAGUGUAGCAGUGAAAUGCGGAGAUAUUGGGAGGAACACCGGUGGCGAAGGCGGCUUACUGGCCAGGAACCGACGGUGAGGCGCGAAAGCGAGGGGAGCAAACGG
rnacentral:rRNA from 1 species